CCGGGAGGGUCAGCUGGUCCUGCCGGUGUUCUCAACUCCGGCCUGCCCUCUUUUGGGCCACCACGACCGUCGGCUGUAGCCCAGUGCCGUCGGGCUGUACCCAAUGGAGGGCAUUCGUUCUGCCAGCUGCGGGGGUGACGGUCUUAUUUUCCUGAAGGGAAGCCUGAGGGUGUGGUGGGUAAAAGGUCGUUGACGGGUCUGUCGUGCCGUCCGCUCGCUGCGGCAGGAACGAAUUCUGACUCCUGCCUCACACCUGUCCUGUCCGCCUCGCGUGGUGGUGAUCCCCUUUUCUCGGUUUUGCUGCCUCAGGUUAAGUCAUAAUCAUGCCGGCCAUUCUAACGGUCCCAUCCCGCCAGUGUUUAUCGGGAGUGUGCUUAGUGCCAGGCAUUGCGCCUGGGGACCCGGGGUUGAAAGGGCGUGUGUGUGUGGGGGGGGGUCGCGGCCCCACCGGUGGUGGUGGGGGGGACACGCGGCCCCACCCUCACGGAGUUUACCGUCUAAUGGGGAAGACACUGGUUACAGCACUCAGAUAGGAGUAAAAUGUCAAAUUGUGGCUUCUACAAUCCCUCCCUAUUAUGUGGACGAAGGGCUUCCGCCUUCCAGGGAAGGUGAAUGAAACCAGUGUUUCAUCACCAUCUCCUCCAUCCUGACUUCCUGGGGUGUGUGCCAAGGUGCAGCUGAAAACCAUGAAAUCUACACCCAGCGUGGGGCUCAAACUUACGAACCUGAGAUCAAGCUUUCUACCAAGCCUGUGAACAAGGCAGUUCUCUCCGUCCUGUGCCUCGGAGCUCUUCUCCCACAGCUAUGUUCACAGGCAUUGCUCGUGUCUGUCUGAUGCAAGAGAAUUCAUCUCUAUGUCUGUGUUCCAGCCAGAAAGAAGGAGGAAGGGGAUAAAAAAGGAUUUUUCCCCUUGAAGAAAUGACCUGGAAGUUACAUACAUCACUUCUCUUCAUACCACAUUGUCAAGAACUCAGAGUUAUAGCUGCACAAGAGAGACUGGAAAAUUUGAUGUUUAUUUUGAGAAGACAUAUGUCCAGCUAAAAAUUAUGGGAUUUAUUACUAUGGUGAAAAGGAUAAUGCAUAUGGGAACAACUGGCAACUGCUGCCACAGUCCAGCCUUUGUUACCCAAGCAUCUGCAUGUACCCAUCUUCCCAACCAUCCCAACACCAAAGCGGACAAUGCUACUGCCCAUUGUAGUUACUGAAUCCAACUCAGAGUUCAGAAUUGCUGGGUAAUGCACUGUCCUCUCUGUUGGGUCUAGAUGUGGUUCAUGCUGGGGCAGGGACUUAAAAAGUACAUUGCACCUCUAGGUAUUUAUCCAAAGGACACAAAAAUAGUGAUUCGAAGGGGCACAUGCACCCCAGUGUUUAUAGCAGCAAUGUCCACUACAGCCAAACUUUAGAAAAAUCCCAGAUACCCAUUGACAGAUGAAUGGAUAAAGAAGAUGUGGUGUACACACACACACACACACACACACACACACACACACACACACUGGAAUAUUACUCAGCCAUCAAAAGGAUGGACUCUUGCCAUUUGCAACAAUGUAAAUGGAGAUAGAGGGCAUUAUGCAAAGCUAAGUAACUCAGUCAGAGAAAGACAAAUACCAUAUGGUUUUAUUCCUAUGUGGAAUUUAAGAAACAAAACAGAUAAACA